GGUCGAGUAGCUCAGUCGGUAGAGCAGGGGAUUGAAAAUCCCUGUGUCGGGGGUUCAAGUCCCUCUUCGACCACCA
rnacentral:tRNA from 1 species